rnacentral:rRNA from 1 species
UGGGGAAUUUUGGACAAUGGGCGAAAGCCUGAUCCAGCCAUGACGCGUGAGUGAAGAAGGCCUUCGGGUUGUAAAGCUCUUUUAGUCGGAAAGAAAGAGUUGCAAUGAAUAAUUGUGAUUUAUGACGGUACCGACAGAAAAAGCACCGGCUAACUACGUGCCAGCAGCCGCGGUAAUACGUAGGGUGCGAGCGUUAAUCGGAAUUACUGGGCGUAAAGGGUGCGCAGGCGGUCUUGCAAGUCAGAUGUGAAAGCCCCGGGCUUAACCUGGGAAUCGCGUUUGAAGCUACAAGACUAGAGUGCAGCAGAGGUGAGUGGAAUUCCAUGUGUAGCAGUGAAAUGCGUAGAGAUGUGGAAGAACACCGAUGGCGAAGGCAGCUCCCUGGGUGGACACUGACGCUCAUGCACGAAAGCGU